rnacentral:rRNA from 1 species
CGUAUAGCAACCUACCUACGACAGGGGAAUAACUCGUUGAAAGACGGACUAAUACCCAUAAUACAGGGAUCCCGCAUGGAAUAUUUGUUAAAGAUUAUCGGUUGUAGAUGGGCAUGCGUUCCAUUAGCUAGUUGGUGAGGUAACGGCUCACCAAGGCAACGAUGGAUAGGGGAACUGAGAGGUUUAUCCCCCACACUGGUACUGAGACACGGACCAGACUCCUACGGGAGGCAGCAGUGAGGAAUAUUGGUCAAUGGACGCAAGUCUGAACCAAGCCACGUCGCGUGAAGGAAGACGGCCCUACGGGUUGUAAACUUCUUUUGUAAGGGAAUAAAGUGAGCCACGUGUGGCUUUUUGCAUGUACCUUACGAAUAAGGAUCGGCUAACUCCGUGCCAGCCGCCGC